GACGAACGCUGGCGGCGUGCUUAACACAUGCAAGUCGAACGGUAAGGCCCUGCGUUGGUGGGGAGUUCGAGAGGCGAGCGUGAGACUAACACGAGAGUCACCCGCCCCUGGCUUUGCGAUAACUACAGGGGACUGGGGCUGAUACCGGACAGCAUCUCCCGCGGCUGGGUGGGGGUUGGAAAGCUUCGGCGGUUGGGGAUGGACUCGCGGCUUAUCAGCUUGUUGGUGGGGUAGUGGCUUACCAAGGCCUUGACGGGUAGCCGGCCUGAGAGGGUGACCGGCCACAUUGGGACUGAGAUACGGCCCAGACUCCUACGGGAGGCAGCAGUGGGGAAUAUUGCACAAUGGGCGGAAGCCUGAUGCAGCAACGCCGCGUGCGGGAUGACGGCCUUCGGGUUGUAAACCGCUUUCGCCUGUGACGAAGCGUGAGUGACGGUAAUGGGUGAAGAAGCACCGGCUAACUACGUG
rnacentral:rRNA from 1 species